CACCGCGGUUAUACGAGAGACCCUAGUUGAUAACUACCGGCGUAAAGAGUGGUUACGGAAAAAUAUUCAAUAAAGCCGAACACCCCCUCAGCCGUCAUACGCACCUGGGGGCACGAAGAUCUACUGCGAAAGCAGCUUUAAUUAUGCCUGAACCCACGACAGCUACGACA
rnacentral:rRNA from 1 species